AAAGGCACAAGGGAGCUUGACUGCGAGACCUACAAGUCGAGCAGGGACGAAAGUCGGGCUUAGUGAUCCGGUGGUUCCGCAUGGAAGGGCCAUCGCUCAACGGAUAAAAGCUACCCCGGGGAUAACAGGCUUAUCUCCCCCAAGAGUCCACAUCGACGGGGAGGUUUGGCACCUCGAUGUCGGCUCAUCGCAUCCUGGGGCUGUAGUCGGUCCCAAGGGUUGGGCUGUUCGCCCAUUAAAGCGGUACGCGAGCUGGGUUCAGAACGUCGUGAGACAGUUCGGUCCCUAUCCGUCGUGGGCGCAGGAAAUUUGAGAGGAGCUGUCCUUAGUACGAGAGGACCGGGAUGGACGCACCGCUGGUGUACCAGUUGUCUUGCCAAAGGCAUAGCUGGGUAGCUAUGUGCGGAAGGGAUAAGUGCUGAAAGCAUCUAAGCAUGAAGCCCCCCUCAAGAUGAGAUUUCCCUGUUACUUUUUGUAACGUAAGAUCCCUGAAAGAUGAUCAGGUUGAUAGGUCAGAGGUGGAAGCGCGGUGACGUGUGGAGCUGACUGAUACUAAUCGAUCGAGGACUUAACCUAA
rnacentral:rRNA from 1 species